rnacentral:lncRNA from 1 species
UAUAGGAGUUUUCCCCCAGAAUCUUGAGAUCCGCCUCAGAAGGUCAGGUGGAUUUGUGGCUUUCUCUUGAUGCCCAAUGUUCUGCUGGAAGCAUUCUCUUGGGAUGGAGUGCUGCUCAUCUCAAUCUUAUUAGGAAAGAAACCCAUUCUUUCAUCUCUGCUCUAUGGUUUGACAAAAUCUUAAAUGCUUUCUGGAUAUUUGCUAAUCUCAUACAAUCCCUUCAACUAAUUGAUCUACUACUUCUAAAAGGCCGAUUUUUCAUGAAGUAACCGAACGGAGUUCCCAAUUAUGGCCAAACUUGACUAAAAUUUCUAUUCUCUCUGGAAGGGGAUUCUCUCUUU